GCAAAUUCAUAACAACAAUCCAACUUGGCGACAAUGGACUUCAAGUGCUGUCUGAUAUUCCUAUCGCUUUUGCUCGCCGGCGUUAUGGGCCGUCCAGAGACAGCUAAGCCACGCCCCACGCUGCCGCCCUGCACGCCCUGGUGCGCCGGACAGCCCCCACCGCCACCGGGAGCGGUUAACUGACUUUUUACCGGGAUUGUGAUCUCUUAUGAAAAAUAAAUAAAAUUUAAAG